UACCUGAGAUUCUGUGCACACUGUGCAGGUUAUGUGUAUAUUGUCUGGUGCGUACUACUUGAGGUCUGGUGCGUACUACGUGAAGUCUGGUUCACAGAACUUGAGGUUUGGUGCGCACUUUGCGAGGUUUGUUGCGCACUUUGCGAGGUUUGUUGUGCACUUUCUGAGGUUUGUUGCGCACUUUCUGAGGUUUGUUGUGCACUUUCUGAGGUUUGUUGCGCACUUUGCGAGGUUUGUUGUGCACUUUCUGAGGUUUGUUGCGCACUUUGCGAGGUUUGUUGCGCACUUUCUGAGGUUUGUUGCGCACUUUCUGAGGUUUGUUGCACACUUUGCAAGGUUUGUAGGGUAAGGUCUGGUGCACACAGUUUACUGGUUUAAACUUUCUAGAAUUUGUUCUGCCUCUGACUGUUUUAUGGUGGUGUGACAUUGUACUACUUUCUUUAUUUGAUUUACCUUUAUUAUCUUAUAUUGUGUGGAACAUUGUUUCUUUCUGGUGGAUCUGUUUUUCUCAUAAUCCAGUUUAUGAAAUGUUGUGUAUAUAGAUAUUUGACAUUUAAUUACUAAAUCUAAAUUAAUUUCAGGUUCUGACGUAAAAAGGCGAAAUCACCACACAAAAAAGAUUCCGGGCCUUCACCUGGACACAGUCGCACAACUUUAACCGAUACAACUAGUACGUCAAAGCCACAGUCCACUUCCGGUGGAACUAAUGGGUCUUUCUAGGAAGCAUCAGACUGUGGAGCGCCCUCUAGUAGUCUGCGUUCUUGAGAAGCUGGUGAUACAGCGCCACAUGGAAGAGUGAGACAAACAUCACAGUCUAACCUCGGGGAAAUCAACUGCAAACUGAACCAUUCAGUAAACCCAAUGCAAAUUUUUGAAUAUCAACUCUUUGAUAAUGAAGAGAAUAUACUGUUGUUGCCUGGAAAACUCGACCAUGCUUAGAGAAAAAGUGCCGGAACGGGUUCGCCUACCUACAGCUAUUCAAGCCUUCAAAUUAUAUCGCGAGAUUUCUCGAUAAAAUGUGACUUCACAUAAAAGCGACUGUGCAUAUAUUUUCAUUGACUGCUGAAAACUGCUUUUGAAAUGUACAACUUGCCAGUUUUCAUCUUCAUUGUAAAAGACCCAUAGUUAAAUAUCAAGAUCGUCUUGCGAGACUUCACAAGACAUUAUAACGUUAUGAAUGUGAAAGAGUUUAUAUUGACAGUCAACAAUGAUUAUGUCUAGCCUGCCUUUAUUGCUCCCAACUAAAAUGUGGAAUUUAUAUUUUGAAAUGAACAUCGGUGUGGUUUCCAAAUGUAAUGAGAAUGCAUUUCCAUUCAAGGCAUGUUUGUAAAAAGCUUUAACAAAAAAUUAGACCUUAAAGACAA
rnacentral:lncRNA from 1 species